UAUGCACACUCUUAAAGCUUGGUGUUGCUACCAGUCUCUGGCUAAUGAACUCCCGAGUGUCGGAGGUGUGCUAUAGCAACAUGGCAGGUUUUUCGCUAACACCACAAGAGUUUGUCUCAAUGCGUGGGGUUUGAUAGUAAUCCUUGCCACAACA